AUGCAAAAUUCACUCAAGAUGCAUUCAUAUAAUAUUGACCCAAAGGUUUUAAGACUUAUUCAAGAUAGCCAAGAAACCAUUACAAAAUACAUAUUCAAGAUCCAAAUAAAAAAUCAAUUCCAUACAUUUCAAAUUCCAUCACAAGACAUUAAAAAUCCAUAUUACAUUCCAAAGAAACAGAUACAUAAUAAAAUCCUAGAAUUUAUCCUUCAUCUUCACGAGCCAAAACUUGCUGCAUAA